GCCCGGUUGGCCCAGCGGUAAGGCGUGUGACUUCUACUCGAUCUCGAAUCGAAAUCACAAGAUCGCGGGUUCGACCCCCGCAUUGGGUUCUA